GACGAACGCUGGCGGCGUGCCUAAUACAUGCGAGUUGAGCGCUGAAGGUUGGUACUUGUACCGACUGGAUGAGCAGCGAACGGGUGAGUAACGCGUGGGGAAUCUGCCUUUGAGCGGGGACAACAUUUGGAAACGAAUGCUAAUACCGCAUAAAAACUUUAAACACAAGUUUUAAGUUUGAAAGAUGCAAUUGCAUCACUCAAAGAUGAUCCCGCGUUGUAUUAGCUAGUUGGUGAGGUAAAGGCUCACCAAGGCGAUGAUACAUAGCCGACCUGAGAGGGUGAUCGGCCACAUUGGGACUGAGACACGGCCCAAACUCCUACGGGAGGCAGCAGUAGGGAAUCUUCGGCAAUGGACGAAAGUCUGACCGAGCAACGCCGCGUGAGUGAAGAAGGUUUUCGGAUCGUAAAACUCUGUUGGUAGAGAAGAACGUUGGUGAGAGUGGAAAGCUCAUCAAGUGACGGUAACUACCCAGAAAGGGACGGCUAACUACGUG
rnacentral:rRNA from 1 species